AUGGGCUCUGCCACCCUAGCUCUCCUCCUUGUCCUUCUUCCAGGUGUCUGUGCUCAGGUGCAGCUGGUGCAGUCUGGGGCAGAGGUGAAGAGACCUGGGGAGUCUUUGAGGAUCUCCUGUAAGACAUCUGGGUACAGCUUUACUAAGAACUGGAUCCACUGGAUUAAGCAGAUCCCUGGAAAGGGCUUGGAAUGGAUAGGAAUGUUUUAUCCCGGUGACUCUGAUCCCAGGUACAACCCAUCCUUCCAAGGAAAAGUCACUAUCUCCAAAGACAACUCCAUCAGCACCGUGUACCUGCAGUGGAGCAGCCUGAAGGACUCAGACAUGGCCAUGUAUUACUGUGCAAGAGACACAGUGAGAGAAACCCUUCCUGAGAGGGGCAAAAUCCCUCAGCCUGAUGCAGCUGCAGAGCAGGAGUCUCAGAGGCACCUCUCAGUUCAGCACCAGAGGACACAGUGUCUGCUGUCUCCUAGAGAGUGA